CAUCUGGCAGCUGGGAUCAGACACAGCCCUGGGAGGCCUGCUCUCUGCCAGGGAGUCGGUAUCUGAGGGCAGUGACAACUGUUUUUUCCUUCAGGAGAAAAUGAAACCUGCAUAGUUGGAGGGAAUCCCUCUGAAGAUGAAGCUUUUAUCCCAAUUUCUGGGAAAAAGGCAUUGGUUUGCAGGGGACAAGCUCACCCAUGUGGAUUUCUCUACUUAUGACAUUGUUGACCUGCACCACAGAUUGGAACCUAAGUGCCUGGAUGAAUUCCCAAACCUGAAAGACUUCCUCGACUGCUUUGAGUUAAUUCUCCUGAACUUCUCACUAUUUAUAUCUCUUUUUUCUUCUCCAGGAUGCUUUCUUAGUCUCGGGGCUAAAAAUUAAGAAUACCUACCAUUUAUCAAUGAUUGAUUUAUACCAGGGUA